CCUACGGGUGGCAGCAGUGAGGAAUAUUGGUCAAUGGGCGCGAGCCUGAACGAGCCAAGUAGCGUGAAGGAUGACAGCCCUACGGGUUGUAAACUGCGUUUAUAAAGGAAUAAAGUGAGGCACGUGUGCCUUUUUGUAUGGACUUUAUGAAUAAGGAUCGGCUAACCCCGUGGCAGCAGCCGCGGUAAUACGGAGGAUCCGAGCGUUAUCCGGAUUUAGUGGGUUUAAAGGGAGCGUAGAGGGGUUGUUAAGUCAGUUGUGAAAGUUUGCGGCUCAACCGUAAAAUUGCAAUUGAGACUGGCAGUCUUGAGUACAGUUGAGGUAGGCGGAAUUCGUGGUGUAGCGGU
rnacentral:rRNA from 1 species